rnacentral:rRNA from 3 species
UACGAAGGGGGCUAGCGUUGCUCGGAAUUACUGGGCGUAAAGGGCGCGUAGGCGGAUGUUUAAGUCAGCGGUGAAAGCCCAGGGCUCAACCUUGGAACUGCCAUUGAUACUGGACAUCUUGAGUACGGGAGAGGUGAGUGGAACACCGAGUGUAGAGGUGAAAUUCGUAGAUAUUCGGUAGAACACCAGUGGCGAAGGCGACUCACUGGCCCGUUACUGACGCUGAGGCGCGAAAGCGUGGGGAGCAAACAGG